UGCAGUUUAGUGGCACUGAUGCUGCCCUGUUGAAACCAGGUGGAGAGGAAGGAGACAGGUACCAUUCCAGCUUCAUUGGGGUUCAGGUAUGUUAGUGUUUGUGUUGGUGUUGUUGUUGGAUUUUUCACCUUUUACCCUACCAAAUCUCAAAAGUUUAAUUUCUGUCCUGCAGGUCCAUGUGGUUUCCAGGAUAUUUCCUCCUUUCCCAGAAGUGCCCUCCAUGUGAUACCCCGUGAGCUGACUUUUAUCACCACCCAUGGGCUUUGGGACACACCCACCUUCUCCAAACUGGGGUCCUCUGGGACCUCACCUUCCUCCUCCACCAUGUGGAAAGAUGAUAUGACCAGUAUAAGUUGACUUAUAAAACACGUUGUGUCUUUUACUUGUUAUGUGUUUGGAGGAGAUGCAGUGAUGGCACCACAGGGCUUUCAAGUCAGCCUAAGUGAGGACGUUGUAAUGUUCUUCAAGUUUCUCAGGACAUGCAUGAAAUGGGCAGUCAUUUCCACAUAGUGAGCUGGGCAACACGUGUCUCUGAUAGAGAAGGAAAGAGGCCUUAUACAUGCUGACAGACAUAGCACACCCUAGGAUGUAGCUGGUACAGAGACCAUGUGCUGGGCUCUCUGAGGGAUGAAACACCCCCCUAACAUACUUUCUAGCGAGUUGAGACCUGAGCUGUUCACAGCUGCUUGAUUAGUUAUAAAAACACCUGAACCAGGACCCUGUAAACCUUCCUCAAGAGACAGGAUCAGAUCUCCCUCUUGUCCUCAAGGGUCACCCGAGGCACAUGAAAAACGCUCUGUCCCUGGUAAGGGACCCGAGAGUGUGAAUGAGUUGAAUAUAAUGAAACAUGUGGUGGAUGGUUUGUUUUUCUUCCACACAGUCUAUGCAAGUCAGAAUCAACCUCCAUCCACGUCCAUCCUUUAUGAGACCUAAGACGUGAUGCAGCUCCCAUGGGCAAUAUCAGUGGUGUCUCUACCAAGGAUGCAGAGAAAGACAAGAUUCAGGUUUGUUUCCGGGAAGAAACCCUGACAGAAAUUCAGAAGAACGGGAGCUGCAUUCCAUUAGGACUUGAAUACACGAAAAUGUUCGUCUCAGGACCUUCUAGAAGAAUGAGACUGGGAACCCACUUUUCCCGAGUCCUGCUGGAACCAGAGACUGAGGUAAGGGCACAAACUGUCCCCCACAUCAUACAUGCUUUUUAAAAAAAUUUAUGGUUAUUUUUCCAACCUAAUGAAGAGAUUUAAAACUGCAGAAAACCUGGUAGGUAGGUAUCUUAAUCUUAUGUUAUUGUUUACUUUAAAUUGCACUUAGUAAACUAUACAGUGUAAUAUUAGUUUCAGGUAGCAAUAUAGAGCAACACUUCCACACUGUCACCUGGUGCUCCA
rnacentral:lncRNA from 1 species